rnacentral:rRNA from 1 species
CAGCCGCCACGGUAAAACGGAGGGUGCAAGCGUUAUCCGGAUUUAUUGGGUUUAAAGGGUCCGUAGGCGGACUUAUAAGUCAGUGGUGAAAGCCUGUCGCUUAACGAUAGAACUGCCAUUGAUACUGUAAGUCUUGAGUAUAUUUGAGGUAGCUGGAAUAAGUAGUGUAGCGGUGAAAUGCAUAGAUAUUACUUAGAACACCAAUUGCGAAGGCAGGUUACCAAGAUAUAACUGACGCUGAGGUACGAAAGCAUGGGGAGCAAACAGGAUUAGAUACCCCAGUAGUCCCUGUCUCUUAUAC